GACCCGUCUUGAAACAMGGACCAAGGAGUCUAGCAUGUGUGCGAGUCAUUGAGAUUACAUUUAAACUGAAAGGCGCAACGAAAGUGAAGGCGUGCGCUUGUCGCGCGCUCAGGGAGGAUGGAGUCGAGUUUCACUCGAUUCUCGCACUCCCGAGGCGUCUCGUUUCCAAUCAGUGAAUGCAGGCGCGCUCUGAGCACAGAUGCUGGGACCCGAAAGAUGGUGAACUAUGCCUGGUCAGGUCGAAGUCAGGGGAAACCCUGAUGGAGGACCGUAGCGAUUCUGACGUGCAAAUCGAUCGUCGGAACUGGGUAUAGGGGCGAAAGACUAAUCGAACCAUCUAGUAGCUGG
rnacentral:rRNA from 1 species